CAUCAUCACUACCACAACAAUCGUCGUCAUUUUCAUCACCAAAAGCAAGAGAAUCGGUGGAUAACCGGUGAUAUUUGCAACUACGCCGUUCACAGGCCUGCCGGGAAGGAGCAGCAUCUUAUUUCCCCGGGACGCGCACUGCCCGCCGUGACCGCGCAAGGAGCAUCACGUGGGAGGUCCCUUUAAGUUUCCAUUGACAGGCCUGAGCGUGUCACAUGGACAUGAUAUAAUGAAAAGGCAGGAACACAGAGUGUACUCUUGGCUGAUGGAAAAGGGGCGAAAUCUACGCCGUCAUCAGCAAACAGCCAGUAGCGCUGCUGGGAGAGGGACGGCGGUCCGGGGCGGUCCGGACUCACUGCGCCUCCGCGGACGGGACUUCUCCAUUCGCACUUGCACCUGUCAGCUAUGACACACACAUACACAUACACACUUUGAGUGGAGGAAAAUGUCGCCUGUGCGCGUUUAUUCCAUCUUUCGCUGCGGAGCUGAGGAGGAGCGCCCGGCAACGCUCCGUCAGAGGCGGUGUGACAGACUCAGAGCGUGAAAGGAAGAGGAGAGACUGAAGAAACCUUGGGACUUGGACUUAAACUUUUUCUUUUCUUUUUCCAUCUCUCUCUCUCUCAGACGGGACGGCAGACACGGCAGUGUGUACGUACGAAGCGGCAGGAAGGAUGACAUCACCGUCACCCGUGGGAGCCAGGGCCUGCCAUUCAUGACAGCGGUGUGUGGGAGCCUCUGUCUCUGCGUGUCACUUCCUGGGAGAGAAUAGAACAGGAAGCCAGAGUGAGAGCUGACAACAAACACUCGCCUCACCUCCACAAGGAAGCCUUUCACCCAGAGGGAGAGAGAGAGAGAGAGAGCGAGAGAUGUGUGUGUGUGUGUGUGUGUGUGUGUGUGUGUCCUUUGCUCAUUCAUGCUGCAAAGUGUUGGUCUGCCUGGCCUGUUGUUAUUUUGGGGUUUGCAUCAAUCCGAUGGGCAUCACGAUGCUGCUGCUAGGUCUGUUUGCAUCUCGGACGUUAGGAAAAUCCUGAUCACGUGUCGUGCAGUAAGUGAAUCAUCAAUGAACAGAGUCCGAUGCAGUGACAGCAAACCAAAUCAAUACACCGUGUGUGAAAACCGCACUGCAAAAAAAAAAUCUCUGUCUUAACAAGUCGUUUAGUCUCAUAGUCCGUGUUAAAGUCUUGUUUUUCUACGAACGCUUAUCAACUUGUUGCCAGAAUUUUCUUGAAUCAAGUGUCAUUUUCUUGAUUCUGGUGAGCUGAUCGGCCUCGUUCUUCCUUGCUUCAACAGAUUUAAUCGAUAGAUAGAUAGAUAGAUAGAUAGAUACUUUAUUCA